UGAUAGCUAUGAAGCGUGAGGUUGUUGCACUUAGUUGCAAGUUUUCCGUGGAGCGAAUGUCAAGUUAGGAAACUGACGGCAA
rnacentral:ncRNA from 1 species